rnacentral:rRNA from 1 species
ACUCCUACGGGAGGCAGCAGUGGGGAAUAUUGGACAAUGGGCGCAAGCCUGAUCCAGCAACGCCGCGUGGAGGACGAAGGCCUUCGGGUCGUAAACUCCUGUCAGUUGGGACGAAAAGUCGCCGGUCAAUAGCCGGCGAUCAUGACGGUACCAGCAGAGGAAGCCCCGGCUAACUCCGUGCCAGCAGCCGCGGUAAU